rnacentral:rRNA from 1 species
GAUUGAACGCUGGCGGCAGGCCUAACCCAUGCAAGUCGAGCGGAUGAAGGGAGCUUGCUCCUGGAUUCAGCGGCGGACGGGUGAGUAAUGCCUAGGAAUCUGCCUGGUAGUGGGGGAUAACGUCCGGAAACGGGCGCUAAUACCGCAUACGUCCUGAGGGAGAAAGUGGGGGAUCUUCGGACCUCACGCUAUCAGAUGAGCCUAGGUCGGAUUAGCUAGUUGGUGGGGUAAAGGCCUACCAAGGCGACGAUCCGUAACUGGUCUGAGAGGAUGAUCAGUCACACUGGAACUGAGACACGGUCCAGACUCCUACGGGAGGCAGCAGUGGGGAAUAUUGGACAAUGGGCGAAAGCCUGAUCCAGCCAUGCCGCGUGUGUGAAGAAGGUCUUCGGAUUGUAAAGCACUUUAAGUUGGGAGGAAGGGCAGUAAGUUAAUACCUUGCUGUUUUGACGUUACCAACAGAAUAAGCACCGGCUAACUUCGUG